rnacentral:tRNA from 1 species
AGGAGUGUAGCUCAGCUGGCUAGAGCAGCGGUCUCCAAAACCGCAGGCCGGGGGUUCGAAUCCCUCCACUCCUGCCA